rnacentral:misc_RNA from 1 species
UCACUACUUGCGUAGGCAGUCUGGCUAGAGUCCCCACCAUCACGUGCUGGUAACUAACCACAGGGGUUGCGCUCGUUGCGCCACUUAAGGCAACACCUCACGGCACGAGCUGACGACAGCCAUGCAGCACCUUCGCCGGCGCCCCGAAGGGAAGGCCCGUUUCGGGACCGGCCGCCGGCGAUUUAGCCCGGGUAAGGUUCUUCGCGUUGCAUCGAAUUAAGCCACAUGCUCCACCGCUUGUGCGGGCCCCCGUCAAUUCCUUUGAGUUUCAUUCUUGCGAACGUACUCCCCAGGUGGUAUGCUUACUGCGUUAACUGCGUCACAGAGCCCACAGGCCCCACAACUAGCAUACAUCGUUUACAGCGUGGACUAC